rnacentral:rRNA from 1 species
GACGAACGCUGGCGGCGUGCUUAACACAUGCAAGUCGAACGGAAAGGUCCUGCUUUUGUGGGGUGCUCGAGUGGCGAACGGGUGAGUAACCCGUGAGUAACCUGCCCUUGACUUUGGGAUAACUUCAGGAAACUGGGGCUAAUACCGGAUAGGAGCUCCUGCUGCUUGGUGGGGGUUGGAAAGUUUCGGCGGUUGGGGAUGGACUCGCGGCUUAUCAGCUUGUUGGUGGGGUGGUGGCUUACCAAGGCUUUGACGGGUAGCCGGCCUGAGAGGGUGACCGGCCACAUUGGGACGGAAAUGAGACCCGGACUCCUACGGGAGGCAGCGGUGGGGAAUAGUGCACAAUGGGCGGAACCCUGAUGCAGCAACGCCGCGUGGGGGAUGACGGCCAUCGGGUUGGAAACCGCUUUCGCCUGUGACGAAGCGUGAGUGACGGUAAUGGGUAAAGAAGCACCGGCUAACUACGUG